CCUACGGGAGGCAGCAGUGGGGAAUAUUGGACAAUGGGCGAAAGCCUGAUCCAGCAAUGCCGCGUGAGUGAUGAAGGCCUUCGGGUCGUAAAGCUCUUUUACCAGGGAUGAUAAUGACAGUACCUGGAGAAUAAGCUCCGGCUAACUCCGUGCCAGCAGCCGCGGUAAUACGGAGGGAGCUAGCGUUGUUCGGAAUUACUGGGCGUAAAGAGUACGUAGGCGGUUAUUCAAGUCAGAGGUGAAAGCCCGGGGCUCAACCCCGGAACUGCCUUUGAAACUAGAUAACUAGAGUCUUGGAGAGGUUAGUGGAAUUCCGAGUGUAGAGGUGAAAUUCGUAGAUAUUCGGAAGAACACCAGUGGCGAAGGCGACUAACUGGACAAGUACUGACGCUGAGGUACGAAAGCGUGGGGAGCAAACAGGAUUAGAUACCCUGGUAGUCCACGCCGUAAACGAUGAUAACUAGUUGUUCGGUCACUUGGUGACUGAGUGACGCAGCUAACGCAUUAGUUAUCCGCCUGGGAGUACGGUCGCAAGNUUAAAACUUAAAGGAAAUUGACGGCUGAGAAGUGCGAGNGACACGAGGGAGAGG
rnacentral:rRNA from 1 species